GUAAUUCUGAUUCCGUGUAUCAAAAGGACUCAUCUUUGUUUCUCUCACAUGGAAGCAGAGAGGAAAUAUUGACAAAAAAUGCACCUAUUUUAUACGACGCUAUUUACACCAAUCUCGCCUCCUUCUUUGGCGAUACUAUUUGAGUCAAUCAAAAAAUGGCCUCAUGUUGCCUUUGGAGUAAGCAACCUACUUCAAAAGUCUCUAACCUCUACGCCACUGUUUCGACCAUGACAUGGUAUCGAAGAGGUGGCCACUAUCCGAUUUGAUUAUGAACCUCUAAUGUGCAGCACGUGAAUAGCACAGUGUACUCUCGACGAUCUUGGUCAGCUCACUUUGUGCGCGAUAUCUUUGCACUUUCGCAUUUCACAAUGAAAAAUGUCGAUAUCACUUGUGAGUGUAUAAAUAGCCGCGGCGCAAACAGAAAGUGACAGUAGACAAUGUUAAUAGUGUACUUGUGUUGUGCAGCUUUGGUGCUCGGCGCCAUGGUGCAAGGAGACGAAUUUGAAUGCGAACGAGAAGCGUUUUACAUCGAAAACAACUGCAAUCGCUGCCAGUGCGGCGGAAAUGGCUAUCUUCUCUGUGGUUUUAAGAAAUGCUUAGUCAAAACGCGACUUUCACUCUACAAAUGCGAGCCGGGUGCCCGCUAUCACCAAGGAUGCAACGAAUGUUGGUGCGUCGAGGGCUUCGGAACCAUUUGUACGCUUAGGAACUGUUUCUGAGUUCUCCUCAUGAGGCAAACGUUGGGCGCUGUACUUAAAACCAUAGUAUUCUUUUUGUAAAAUAAAUAUGUGUGUCUCAGAUAGCAUUUUAGUUUUGAACCGAAUAGAUGGACCAAUUCCUCGCCCUGCAAUGAGCGCUAUUAUUGUCCAAUGACGAUGAUGAUCUUUGUGUGAGCGCACUACGUACCAACGCCAGUUAGAACUAUGGUCAUAUGUACCCCCCUUGCACCAUCUUGAAAUUAUUCUUUGAUUAACGUCUUUAAUAUUUUUUCCACCAGUGCGCGAGGUCUACGUAAGGAAAUUUCAAAAAAAGCUCGCUAUUUUUUCUAAAAGGCCCCCUUGUUAAGUUUCUUUGAACUCAGACUUUCCAUUAAGUGGGCCAACUAAGCAUGCCCUAAAGUAACGGCACCACUCUUACACCUACCCUUUGGCGCGAUACCUCCAUCGCUUGGGCUACUUUGUAUGCCAUUUUACGUUUCCCGGUCACCAAACCUGCAUAUCCAAGUCUUGGUGAGUGUAAAGCCGCAUGUGGCGGGGUAUAAACACCUAUUUUUCGUUGACAUUUUCGAUCUACUUACGAGCUAACGCAUAAAUGGCGGUACUCGGCACCGAUUGGGCUACGGAAUCGCGGAUUUUAAAUUAUAGUAGAAGCAAUUACAACCAUCCUUUCAAGCAGGUAACUUUAAUAUAAUUUACUAGCAGCUUGCGUAAUUGGUAAACUUAAUUCCAAUUACAAAUAAUUGACGGACGAAGGCAUAGUUUCUCAUGACAACGUUAAAUGUAAUUAGGUCCAUCUCCGGACCACACCUCCAAGGAGACAUUUGCGCCCUUAUUUCGAGGCAAUUAGUCUACUAAGUUUUGGGUCAUAAACAAAUUCGACAUUUUGCGACGUAUUCAAUUCAAUUAUUCAAUAUAAGUUUUGCAGCAUUCCUAUGAUGGAUUCGAACUGAAUAUAGUUAAACAGUAAAUUACGUUUGACACUUCUGUUCUACGAUUCAAUUUCAUCGAUGUUACACACCUUUUUUUUAAUACUUUCCUAAGUUGCACAUUUCUAAUUUUUUCCACUCCAAAGGGUACGCUUAACUACCCACCCGAGCGCUUUCUUUACAAGUUAAAAGGAUAGCAAUUCCUUUCAACACCAUAUCAAGCGAUUAGAAACGCUCGAACGUAAGUUUCUAUUAAAGUUUUUGUUGCACAACCAAAUUUUGUGUACUUAGUGAACAGUAUGCGUUAAAACAAUUUAUGGCUGCGAAACCGUUAACACCGACAUUGUUAUUAGAAAAACUGGAUUACAAAGGAAAAAAAUAAUCGGCAUUGUAGAACGUAAGCAAUAAUUGUUGUCACAAUCACACUCGAGGAAAAUUUAAUAAACGGUCUCAAAUUAUUACAAAUAACACUUUAGAUCUGAAAAAAUUUAACUCAAUUUUUAGGGGAUUAACUCGUAGUCUAAAAAAUUAUCAAUAUCAAAGCAGAUUUCUGCGGAAAACAACGGAGCUAAAACUGUUAAAUGACUAUUUAAACAAAUAUAGGAAUUCGAUUGUAUCGAAAACCAAUAUGUGAUGUAAUCAAACGUUAUAAUAUCAAGAAGUCGUCGCCUUUAAAAUCUGGCCGUAACGGCCAUCUGAAUUCAGAUGGGCGCUUUUCUGCCUUAUCUGUAACAGAUAAAAACUCAAACAAAAAACAAGGGGGAAUAUUGCAAUAGAAAUGUAUAACGUUUGACACGCGAGAACCGUAAUUACCACUCAAUCACUAAUUCAAUUUACGUUAACUAAACGUAAGUAAAACUUUGAUCGACAACUAAUCGUCCGUACAAAUCGCUGAUAUAUAGAAGCAUAAACGUGACGUUAACUGCAAGGGAACUAGUUUACGAGACACUAAUAACUAAAUCUCGAAACAACAAUAAGCUAAUUAAUUUAAAAUGCAAAUGAAUUAAUUCAAACAAAUUCUUCGUAAUGACACAAGCAACGUUAAUAAAACAAUCGUAGAUAUUGGUUUCGGAAUAGGUCUUGGUAACUACUUAAACUAAUUCAGAAUGCACGGGUAACUAAAUAUCUACGUAUAAUAAACUAAUUGGAAGGAUAGAAUGUAGACAAAAUCGGAAUGCGAAAGAUGAAUUUUUGUAACAAUAAAGCAAUAUACAUGUAGAACUAAGUCAAGUCGGUUUAUUAAUAAAAAACUAUUUAUAAUAGUUUUUUACACAAGCCACAAUAUCAAUAAGAAUGCAAAAAAUUAUUAGUUGACGGUAAUACCUAACAGCUCGCCUUCGGUGUAAAAGACACCUGACGUAAGAAAAUCCUUGGCCCUCUUCUUGAAUUAUGUGAAUGCGUCGCAGUCGAUUUUACAGAUGCAGGAAGAGCGUUAUAGUAGCUAGUCGAUUCUGGUGACAGCUUGUAGAACGAGUGAGUUGGCUUAGAGGUGUCAAAGUCAUUCACAAGCGCAAUAAUCCUUUUCUAUUACAAUUUCCAUUUUUUACGAUGAUCAUGUAUACUAAUGGACCCCAUAACGAUGUCUCCACCUAGGUUUGACAUUGUCUCAUACAUGGUGAGGUGAUGGGGGAUUUAAUUAUUACACCCCACUUGUCUUCAAUAUAUUUGGGACUUCAAGAUUCUAUCUAAUAGAUUAGUGAGCAUUUAUCUUUUGUUAUUAGACCUUUCUAUGCUGUUAGAUAAUUUUAUUGAAUGGUAAGCAGAUGAUCAGAUUUGAAAAUGAUUAAUACAGAUAGCAUCUGUCGCGGCACUUAAAUUCGAAUCAAAAAUGAAUUAGACAAUUCCACAUGAUGUUCAGUGAUUCAAUCAUUCAAAAAAAUGCUGUUGCUACUCGCACUACUCGCGCAAGUGAACGCGUUUGUAUGGGAAACUGCCUUUAAAAUCACCACUAACUAGACUUUUUUAAGCAAAAUGCGUACGAUGUUAUUUCAGAACGUAUGGAAGUCGAAUAUUACGAUCCUACCAUUUUGAACGCUUCCUGCUCUAACUACAAGUAUAACCGAACAACCCGUACGUUUAUUUUGACAUUGACGUUGAAAAUUGAUGCAACUGAAGGAGAUCUCAUUAUGGUAACGGGUUACAAAUGGCUGAGUAAUCGUUAUCGCCUGGACAUCCUCCAAUUCAACUUGACAAUCAAAGAUGCAAUUCGCUGCAAGUACUUUGAUAUAGAUCGCGUGUUGGGUUCCUGUACGACACCUCGCAUGGAAUGGCCACUCGUUAAAGCGGAUUGGGUGCCGGACAGUACAAAGUUUCCUCCGGGCAUGCCAGAAGGAAGGUGGAAAAUAGGGAUGCGAUUUUUUACGGGCAACGAGAAACACGUCAUGUCUCAAAACUGGUAUUGUGCCAUCAAAUACAAGCUUAAAAUGGAAUAGAAGUAAUGCGAUAACCACAUAAUACCUAUGCCUAUUUACACUUUAAAUACUAGUAGGACAGCAAGUUGUGGUGUUUUAAUGUUAGUAAUAGUAAGACACAAAGUUUGUAACUACACCUGUGCACACGCCACCCACAUAACACCCUUACGCCUCCGUACGAGGUCAUAUAGUUUGAUAUUCGCGUGUGUAAAUAAAUAAAGUUGGUUUUACCACCAGUGUGAUAUAUGUA